rnacentral:rRNA from 1 species
AUUGAACGCUGGCGGAAUGCUUUACACAUGCAAGUCGAGCGGCAGCGCGGUCUUCGGACUGGCGGCGAGCGGCGAACGGGUGAGUAAUACAUCGGAACAUGCCCAGUCGUGGGGGGAUAACACUUCGAAAGAAGUGCUAAUACCGCAUACGUCCUGAGGGAGAAAGCGGGGGAUCGCAAGACCUCGCGCGAUUGGAGUGGCCGAUGUCAGAUUAGCUAGUUGGUGGGGUAAAGCCUACCAAGGCAACGAUCUGUAGCUGGUCUGAGAGGAUGAUCAGCCACACUGGGACUGAGACACGGCCCAGACUCCUACGGGAGGCAGCAGUGGGGAAUUUUGGACAAUGGGGGCAACCCUGAUCCAGCCAUUCCGCGUGAGUGAAG